rnacentral:rRNA from 1 species
CCUACGGGUGGCUGCAGUGGGGAAUAUUGCGCAAUGGGCGAAAGCCUGACCCAGCAACGCCGCGUGAAGGAAGAAGGCUUUCGGGUUGUAAACUUCUUUUCUCAGGGACGAAGCAAGUGACGGUACCUGAGGAAUAAGCCACGGCUAACUACGUGCCAGCAGCCGCGGUAAUACGUAGGUGGCAAGCGUUAUCCGGAUUUACUGGGUGGAAAGGGCGUGUAGGCGGGACUGCAAGUCAGAUGUGAAAACCACGGGCUCAACCUGUGGCCUGCCUUUGAAACUGUAGUGCUUGAGUACUGGAGAGGCAGACGGAAUUCCUAGUGUAGCGGUGAAAGGCGUAGAGAUUAGGAGGAACACCAGUGGCGAAGGCGGUCUGCUGGACAGCAACUGACGCUGAGGCGCGAAAGCGUGGGGAGCAAACAGGAUUAGAUACCCCAGUAGUC